CUUUAUGGCAGGCCGUGCGGGGCAGGCUUCGGCCUGGCCGGUUCCCCUGGUUUCCGGUUUCUGACCCCCGUACGGUCUGCCACCCAA
rnacentral:antisense_RNA from 1 species